rnacentral:snRNA from 1 species
GAGAGUGAUGAAUUCCUGUAAAAUACACAAU